CUCCAUAGUUCAAAGCUAGCCUGGCUAGUGUAUCAGGGCAGUUUCCUGGCCAUGGAAGAGGGUGUACUUGUUUAUUGGUAGCACCAUCACCAUUUAAUUGUAAUUAGAUUCUGACUUGGCACAAACAACAUUC